rnacentral:rRNA from 1 species
CCUACGGGGGGCAGCAGUGGGGAAUAUUGCACAAUGGGCGCAAGCCUGAUGCAGCCAUGCCGCGUGUGUGAAGAAGGCCUUCGGGUUGUAAAGCACUUUCAGCGGGGAGGAAGGCGGUGAGGUUAAUAACCUCAUCGAUUGACGUUACCCGCAGAAGAAGCACCGGCUAACUCCGUGCCAGCAGCCGCGGUAAUACGGGGGGUGCAAGCGUUAAUCGGAAUUACUGGGCGUAAAGCGCACGCAGGCGGUCUGUCAAGUCGGAUGUGAAAUCCCCGGGCUCAACCUGGGAACUGCAUUCGAAACUGGCAGGCUAGAGUCUUGUAGAGGGGGGUAGAAUUCCAGGUGUAGCGGUGAAAUGCGUAGAGAUCUGGAGGAAUACCGGUGGCGAAGGCGGCCCCCUGGACAAAGACUGACGCUCAGGUGCGAAAGCGUGGGGAGCAAACAGGAUUAGAUACCCGUGUAGUC